UACGUAGGGGGCAAGCGUUAUCCGGAUUUACUGGGUGUAAAGGGGGCGCAGACGGCGAUGCAAGCCAGGAGUGAAAGCCCGGGGCCCAACCCCGGGACUGCUCUUGGAACUGCGUGGCUGGAGUGCAGGAGGGGCAGGCGGAAUUCCUGGUGUAGCGGUGAAAUGCGUAGAUAUCAGGAGGAACACCGGUGGCGAAGGCGGCCUGCUGGACUGCAACUGACGUUGAGGCCCGAAAACGUGGGGAGCAAGCAGG
rnacentral:rRNA from 1 species